rnacentral:ncRNA from 1 species
CCACAGCCGGCGACCGGCUGCCGGACGAGGGAGCCGUACCCGGACUGCGACAAGACGGCCACGAA